UACGGAGGGUGCAAGCGUUAAUCGGAAUUACUGGGCGUAAAGCGCGCGUAGGCGGUUUUUUAAGUCAGAUGUGAAAUCCGCGGGCUUAACCUGGGAAUGGCAUUUGAGACUGGUAGGUUAGAGUGUGGUAGAGGUGAGUAAAAUUUCAGGUGUAGCGGUGAAAUGCGUAGAGAUCUGAAGGAACAUCAGUGGCGAAGGCGACUCACUGGGCCAUUACUGACGCUGAGGUGCGAAAGCGUGGGUAGCAAACAGG
rnacentral:misc_RNA from 1 species